rnacentral:rRNA from 1 species
UACGUAGGGGGCAAGCGUUGUCCGGAUUUAUUGGGCGUAAAGAGCGUGUAGGCGGCUUUACAGGUCCGUUGUGAAAACUCGAGGCUCAACCUCGAGACGCCGGUGGAAACCGUAAAGCUAGAGUCCGGAAGAGGAGAGUGGAAUUCCUGGUGUAGCGGUGAAAUGCGCAGAUAUCAGGAAGAACACCGGUGGCGAAGGCGGCUCUCUGGGCCUUACCUGACGCUGAGGAGCGAAAGCGUGGGUAGCGAACAGG